GGAUUUGUGCCUUCGGGAACUGUGAGACAGGUGCUGCAUGGCUGUCGUCAGCUCGUGUUGUGAAAUGUUGGGUUAAGUCCCGCAACGAGCGCAACCCUUAUCCUUUGUUGCCAGCGGUCCGGCCGGGAACUCAAAGGAGACUGCCAGUGAUAAACUGGAGGAAGGUGGGGAUGACGUCAAGUCAUCAUGGCCCUUACGACCAGGGCUACACACGUGCUACAAUGGCGCAUACAAAGAGAAGCGACCUCGCGAGAGCAAGCGGACCUCAUAAAGUGCGUCGUAGUCCGGAUUGGAGUCUGCAACUCGACUCCAUGAAGUCGGAAUCGCUAGUAAUCGUGGAUCAGAAUGCCACGGUGAAUACGUUCCCGGGCCUUGUACACACCGCCCGUCACACCAUGGGAGUGGGUUGCAAAAGAAGUAGGUAGCUUAACCUUCGGGAGGGCGCUUACCACUUUGUGAUUCAUGACUGGGGUGAAGUCGUAACAAGGUAACCGUAGGGGAACCUGC
rnacentral:rRNA from 2 species